GUUGCAAGCAGAUGAUUUCUAAAUUUCUAAAAUUAUUGUUGUUGCAACGUAGCGAAAAAGACCCACGUCAAACGUUUGCGUUGGCGGUAGGACAAAAAACAAAGUGCUGUGAUCUAAUUUUGAACUUGUAAACAACACCAUGACGACAACCUGUGAACUGGAAUCGUCUGCAAAUGCAAUCGAAAUAAGCCCAAAAACAUAUAGUUAUGCGCUAUUCGAAGAUGUGCAUCUCGCGCUGUCAGCGGCACCAGGUCAAGGAGAAACGCUGCAGACUCGCGGACAUUUCAACUAUUUUCAUUACGGCUGCGAUGGCACUAUGGAUGCAGGUUGGGGCUGCGGCUAUCGCACUUUACAAACGGCCAUCUCAUGGAUUAUUAAUAAGCGCAAUGCCACUGCAACAAAUGUGCCCUCAAUACGUGAGAUUCAGAGCAUUCUGGUUAAGAUCGGUGACAAAUUGCCGCGUUUUAUUGGCUCACGCGAUUGGAUUGGCACGCUGGAGGAGUGUUAUGUGUUGGAUACGCUGUUCGACGUGCCGUGUAAGAUUCAACACGUUAAACAGUUGAACUGCGAUCAGGUGAUUGACCAGAUACGUCGAUACUUUGUUGAGUAUGCUGGUUUCAUUGCCAUGGGCGGGUUAAGCGACACAGCAUCAAAGGGCAUAGCGGGCAUACAUCAGAGUCCAGUUGCGGGCACAUUUUUGCUGGUUGUGGAUCCGCACUUCUCGGGUGUGCCGAGCAGCAAGCAACAGUUGAUUGACGCGGGUUAUGUGCGUUGGAUGCACAUGGAUGAGUUUCGAGAGAGUGCCUAUAAUCUCUGCUUCAUACUGCAGAAAUAGUUUACUUUAAUGGCUGCCACCUCGUUAUUAUGGAUCGUAUGUAUUGAUAAGUAAACCGCACACAUACUGAUAAGCCGGCGACACUGAACGGUUACCAAUCAACGAUAG